CUGCUCAUCUCAGCAGCACAUACACUAAAACUGGAAUAAUACUGAGAAGAUUACCAUGUCCCCUCCAUAAGGACGACACACAAAUUAAUGAAACAUUUCAUAUUUAU